UCGGGAAUAUUGCGCAAUGGAGGAAACUCUGACGCAGUGACGCCGCGUGCAGGAAGAAGGUUUUCGGAUUGUAAACUGCUUUAGACAGGGAAGAAAAAGGACAGUACCUGUAGAAUAAGCUCCGGCUAACUACGUGCCAGCAGCCGCGGUAAUACGUAGGGAGCAAGCGUUAUCCGGAUUUAUUGGGUGUAAAGGGUGCGUAGACGGGAAAUUAAGUUAGUUGUGAAAUCCCUCGGCUUAACUGAGGAACUGCAACUAAAACUGGUUUUCUUGAGUGCUGGAGGGGGAAAGUGGAAUUCCUAGUGUAGCGGUGAAAUGCGUAGAUAUUAGGAGGAACACCAGUGGCGAAGGCGACUUUCUGGACAGUAACUGACGUUGAGGCACGAAAGUGUGGGGAGCAAACAGGAUUAGAUACC
rnacentral:rRNA from 1 species